UACGUAGGGAUCGAGCGUUGUCCGGAAUCAUUGGGCGUAAAGAGCGUGUAGGCGGCCUGUUAAGUCUUGCGUGAAAUCUCGGGGCUCAACCCCGAGCGGUCGUGAGAAACUGGCAGGCUAGAGUGCGGGAGAGGAGAGUGGAAUUCCUGGUGUAGCGGUGAAAUGCGUAGAUAUCAGGAGGAACACCGGUGGUGUAAACGGCUUUCUGGACCAUAAACUGACGCUGGAGGCACGAAAGCGUGGGUAGCAAACAGG
rnacentral:rRNA from 1 species